rnacentral:lncRNA from 1 species
UGCACAAAGGAAGAGAAAUUCUUGAAGCCAGUGCUGCUGAAAUUUUUGUUUGCACAUGAAUCACCUGAGAAUCUUCUGAAGGUGCAGAUUCUGAUUCAAUAAGUCUGGGAUGGGACUUGAGAUGCUGAAUUUCCAACUCCCAGGUCCUACUCAUGCUGCUGGUCUACAGACCACACUUUGAGUAGCAAGAAUCAACUCUAUGGGGCUGACUAAGGAGAGAGCCGGCUGUCGGAAAAAGAAGACUGAAUAAUACACACAUAGUGUCAUGAAAGCUGGAGAGUGAAGGUGUUUAUUGGAGAGAGAGAUUUGAACAAGACUCAUGUGUCAAAGUCACAAACUGAGCUGAAAGGAAGGAAAGAAGACAAGAUGUGUCAGGCUCAUAGGCAGAAGGGAUUUGCCUUGUCACCAAGAUGAGACUUUGGACUGUGGAACUUUUGAGUUGAAACGAGUUGAGACCUUGGGGAACUGUUGGGAGGGCA